rnacentral:rRNA from 1 species
CCUACGGGUGGCAGCAGUGAGGAAUAUUGGUCAAUGGGCGUAAGCCUGAACCAGCCAAGUCGCGUGAGGGAUGAAGGUUCUAUGGAUCGUAAACCUCUUUUAUAAGGGAAUAAAGUGUGGGACGUGUCCCGUUUUGUAUGUACCUUAUGAAUAAGUAUCGGCUAACUCCGUGCCAGCAGCCGCGGUAAUACGGAGGAUCCGAGCUGUAACCGGAUUUAUUGGGUUUAAAUGGUGCGUAGGGGGCAUUGUAAGUCAAGUGUGAAAGUCUGUGGCUGAACCAUAAAAUUGGCGUUGAAACUGGGAAGUUUGGAGUAGUGUAGGGGAGGGGGGAAGUGGGG